AGCGAACGCUGGCGGCAGGCUUAACACAUGCAAGUCGAGCGGACCUUUCGGGGUCAGCGGCGGACGGGUGAGUAACGCGUGGGAACGUGCCUUCCGGUUCGGAAUAACCCUGGGAAACUAGGGCUAAUACCGGAUACGCCCUUAUGGGGAAAGGUUUACUGCCGGAAGAUCGGCCCGCGUCUGAUUAGCUAGUUGGUGGGGUAACGGCCUACCAAGGCGACGAUCAGUAGCUGGUCUGAGAGGAUGAUCAGCCACACUGGGACUGAGACACGGCCCAGACUCCUACGGGAGGCAGCAGUGGGGAAUAUUGGACAAUGGGCGCAAGCCUGAUCCAGCCAUGCCGCGUGAGUGAUGAAGGCCUUAGGGUUGUAAAGCUCUUUUAUCCGGGACGAUAAUGACGGUACCGGAGGAUUAAGCCCCGGCUAACUUCGUG
rnacentral:rRNA from 1 species